UCUUUGAUGGUCUAACGGUCAUGAUUUCCGCUUGUCAUACAGUCCGCGGGAGACCGGGGUUCGACUCCCCGUCAGAGAG
rnacentral:tRNA from 1 species